UACUAAAAGUUUUAGUUUUGGGAACUUUCAACGGAUCCUGAGAAGGCGACUAUCACCAGAGGAGGAUGCUAAAAUUUUAUAUUCGGUCUGCUCUAGAUAAAGACGGAUUUCAAGUUAAAAACAUUUCAGAUUUCAAAGGCCACUAUUUUCCGUGUGAAUUUUCAUCAGGCUGAGCUGUUCCGUGAUUGGCUGAUAGGUUUUGGUGUUUUUGCAAAAGAACAGUUCAAAAAAGGAGAGCUUUUGCUGGAAUAUUUCGGUGAAAAUAUUUCACCAGAAGAAGCUGCUGUUCGUUCCAAGAAGCUGGAUUGUAACAUGAUAUUUCCUUUUUUAUAAAGGAAAGCAAUACCGCAUUGAUGCUUCAUCUUGUGUUGACCAUAUUUGUCAGUAUGUGAACGACAACAAUGUCAAGGACGCAAACGCCAGAAUGAAACUACUGGAUAUCGAUGGGAGGCCGAAACUAUGUCUUUUUGCUACAAAGACAUAGGAGUAGGUGAAGAAUUGUCUUAUCCAUAUGGAGAUGACAAAAAUCUUUGGUGGAGAAAUAAGGCAUGUUCUGUUUAUUUUGAAACUUAAUUUUAAAAUGCAUUAUUUUUU